UCAUCCCUGCGUGACUGGCGAUAGAACCAAACAGGUUCAAGGUGGAGCGACCCACCGUGAAGCGCAGGGUGCCGUUUUGCCGUUCGCCUGGGCAGCCGUG
rnacentral:ncRNA from 2 species